GAUGCAUUGUACUAAUUCAUUUUCUUUUCUCUUGUGGUUCACUUUUAUUGUCUAAUUGCUAUGUUGUACUGAUUGCUGAUCUGAUUUUCCCGAAGCAGGGGACUGGGGUUACAAUACUCAAAAGGAAAGGGAGGAAGCUGCUAGCAUUCCCAGAAUUCGCCUUCUUGGGCUCUCUGACUUCAGCAAUAAGCUGAAAUAAUCUUGUAUUCAUCCAAUGAACUUGUAUUAUUAUUAAAUGAGAGGGUCUGCUGCAAUAUCCUCCAAUAUCCAUAAUUUUCUUACAAAAUUAUGUGUUCAGCAUCUUGCCUGCUCUGGUCAUCCCAAUGUACUCAUUCCAAUGAACUUGCAUUUUUUAUUAAAUGAGAGGGUCUGCUGCAAUGUCCUCUGAUAUCUUUCUUACAAAAUUAUGUAUUCAGCAUCUUGCCCGCUCUGGUCAUGCCAAUGUAUACACAAAUUUGU
rnacentral:lncRNA from 1 species